ACGUUCGGUGGAGGAACCAGACUGGAAGUUAACUUGGGUCGAGUCGCCCCCACCCUGACGGUGCUGCCCCCCUCCAGCCAGGAGCUGCAGCAGGGGAAGGCCACGCUCACGUGUCUGGCCAACAAGGGCUUCCCCUCAGACUGGAGUCUGGCCUGGAAGGUGGACGGCAGCAGCAGCAGCAGCAGCAGCUGGGAGCAGAGCAGGAGCCCCGGGGUGCUGCAGCAGGACGGCCACUACAGCUGGAGCAGCACCCUGAGGCUCACUGCAGACCAGUGGAGGAAGGUGGGCUCUGUGACCUGUGAGGCCACCCAGGGCUCCCAGACUCCACUCUCAGAGACACUGAGGAGAGACCAGUGUUCCCAGUCCUGA